rnacentral:rRNA from 1 species
GUAGGUGGUUUGUCGCGUUGUUCGUGAAAUCUCACGGCUUAACUGUGAGCGUGCGGGCGAUACGGGCAGACUAGAGUACUGCAGGGGAGACUGGAAUUCCUGGUGUAGCGGUGGAAUGCGCAGAUAUCAGGAGGAACACCGGUGGCGAAGGCGGGUCUCUGGGCAGUAACUGACGCUGAGGAGCGAAAGCGUGGGGAGCGAACAGGAUUAGAUACCCUGGUAGUCCACGCCGUAAACGGUGGGUACUAGGUGUGGGUUUCCUUCCUUGGGAUCCGUGCCGUAGCUAACGCAUUAAGUACCCCGCCUGGGGAGUACGGCCGCAAGGCUAAAACCCAAAGGAAUUGACGGGGGCCCGCACAAGCGGCGGAGCAUGUGGAUUAAUUCGAUGCAACGCGAAGAACCUUACCUGGGUUUGACAUGCACAGGACGCGUCUAGAGAUAGGCGUUCCCUUGUGGCCUGUGUGCAGGUGGUGCAUGGCUGUCGUCAGCUCGUGUCGUGAGAUGUUGGGUUAAGUCCCGCAACGAGCGCAACCCUUGUCUCAUGUUGCCAGCGGGUAAUGCCGGGGACUCGUGAGAGACUGCCGGGGUCAACUCGGAGGAAGGUGGGGAUGACGUCAAGUCAUCAUGCCCCUUAUGUCCAGGGCUUCACACAUGCUACAAUGGCCGGUACAAAGGGCUGCGAUGCCGUAAGGUUAAGCGAAUCCUUUUAAAGCCGGUCUCAGUUCGGAUUGGGGUCUGCAACUCGACCCCAUGAAGUCGGAGUCGCUAGUAAUCGCAG